AUUUCUAAAUGUAAAUAUUAGUUAAAGCUGUAGAAGUACAUGUAAUUAGAUGAGAGAUUCUGUAUAUAAAGCAUAUCAACUGCAAGUUCAUUUUUAUGUACAGAACAUUUAUGACCAAAAAAAAAAAUUAAACGCCCAACGUGGGGCUCGAACCCACGACCCUGAGAUUAAGAGUCUCAUGCUCUACCGACUGAGCUAGCCGGGCUGCUGUUUUCCCUCCCCCACAGAAAAGUCUGUGUGCAUGUGUAAUGAUGUAACUAACUCCAGAUGCAGUGUCUGCUUUCUUCAGCAGAAGGGGAGGAU